UACGACUACAUAUCAGGCAUAUCAAUAAGCGGAGGAAAAGAAUUGAAAUAACAAAAAGCAUAUGUAUGUAAAGAAAAAAGGCGACAUCUUAAAAGAAGAUUGUUCCGACCUUAUACACCUGUUUUUCAGAAGAGUAAGAGAAAGAAACUAAAAAGGAGAUAUGUAACAAUGAAAAAAACAAUUCUUUCAUUCCUUGUUUUCGCUAUGAUGCUCCCUAUGUUUGCUUUACCGGCAUCUGCCGAUGACGACAUCACAAUUUAUGUAAACAAUGAAAUACUCAAUUGUGAUGUAGCCCCAUUCAUUGAAAACGGAAGAACCAUGGUCCCCAUGAGAAAAAUAUUUGAUGCUCUUGAUGUUCCCAUAGAGUGGGACGGAGAAGAACAGACAGUUACAUUUAUAAAUACAGAAGAAAACCGCACGAUUGUAUUCCAGGUUAACAACCCGAUGAUGCUAUACGGCAGCAAAUAUAAAAAAGAGUUGGAUGCAGCGCCGGUCAUUGUUAACGGAUUAACCUUUGUGCCCGUCAGAGCUGUAGCUCAAAGUCUGGAUGCCGAUGUAGAGUGGAUUCCUGUUACCAAAAGCAUUUAUAUAAAUUCUCCCGAGGCAUUUGAACAGGGCCAAUGGAAAAUCUUCCACCAACAGUUACUAUGUAUUCGCUUGACAAUCGAGAAAUUGAGGUCUUGGAAUCCGAAAUACAGGAAUACGAAAAAGUUGGUUGGUACUGGGGAUACCCUGAAACUAUGUAUGCAUUAGACGGAAGAACCAUAAUCGUCGGUGAAUUUAGAAUUCCGGAAUACGAAGCAGUCGGCUGGUAUUUUGGGGAGCCUGUUACAAUGUAUGCGUUAGACGGAAGAACCAUAAUCGUCGGUGAAAACAGGAUUUAUGAAUAUGAAAAGGUUGGUUGGUAUUGGGGAGAGCCUAUAACUCUGACUUCGAAAGACGGCGAAUCUAAAGUUAUCGGCGAAAGCAGAUUCCGUAGUUAUCACACUGCCUACCAAGAAGCAGGUUAUUACUAUGGCAAUCCCAUAACCCUGUACAAAAACGAAAAAUCAGUAAUAUUAGGUGACAAAGACACCGAGGCAAUCAAUAAAUAUAAAGCAGACGGAUAUUCCGAAACCUAUACUCCUGCCACCUCUUCCUCCACUACCGAUGGAAAGAAGGUCAUACCUUGUACAUAUCCCGGAUGUAAUAGGGGAAAACGCGAUUGUAGCAAUUGUGGCGGUGACGGAAAAGUAACAGAAUAUGACAUACGUCUUCAUAAAAUAGUCACAAAAAGUUGCACAUAUGCUUCUUGCAUUUUCGGUAAAACCAGAUGCCAUAAAUGCGGCGGCAACGGUUGGAUAACAGUAACAGAAUAGCAAAGGGGAAUGUAAAAUAAUUCCCGCAAAAAAAUCGAGGAUGAAAAAUUCCUCGAUUUUUUUGUACACAAAAACAGCUGAAAGUAUGUUCAUCUGUCACUGCUGUUUUAUCCUAUAAAAUUUACAUACUGGAUUUCAAUGAUACAUUAUACGGUAUCUGAUUGAUAAGGUCUUCUUCAUUAACAUUAUGCGGUAUUUCAAGUGUAAAGAUAUAUUUUCUAUGGUUUGUUUCUAUAUCACGGUCAAUGGAUAUAUCUUUUAUAUUUACGCCAAAUCCGUCGAAAACUUCCUUUGCCUCCUGCUGAUAGUUUUCUUUGUCAACAUUUCUUACAACAAGGAUUUUUGUUCUGGGAAUUUUUAUCCAGUCAAAAUUCAGAUGCAGAAGAAUCUGCGCUGAAAGGAUGAUUACCGUAGCAAAUAUUCCCAAUCCGUACAUACCUGCACCAAUCGACAUACCUACGCUUAGGAUGUUGAUCUACAGAGCGAGAG
rnacentral:rRNA from 1 species